UGAGAUGGAACUGCUUGGUCUGGAUAGUCCUCGUCGUCAACAGCAGCAGCAACAACAACAACAAUUGAUUGAAGAGAUUGCUAGAAUCUCUUCCCCAUCUUUCAGGAACAGCGAAUUCAACAGGAUUGCUGAUUUGAAUCCUACUAACCUUGAUGACCUAUUAGCAUCAGCCGAUCCCAAUUUACUAUCUCAAUUACAUGGACUUUCCAUGCAACCUUCGACACCCACACAACAGAUGCAUUCUCCAAGUGCAAUGCAGAUGCGCCAAAACAUGAACAUGGGCCAAAACAUGAACCACCUUCGUGCAAGUUAUCCAUCAAACAAUAUGCCUUCCUCUCCAGUGAGGAAGCCCUCACCAUAUGGAUUUGAUUCAUCGGCUGCCGUAGCAGCUGCGGUGAUGAAUUCCAGGUCUGCUGCCUUCGCAAAGCAGCGCAGCCAAAGUUU
rnacentral:lncRNA from 1 species